UCUGCUUCGAAACGGGGAAAUCUCGGUAUAAAAAGGUUGUUCUCAGAUCGUUAUCAAGCCCUCCUCUGUUUCUGGGAAGCUCUGAAGAAAGGGGGUGAAAUCAUGGAUAUGACUACUGAAUGAUAAGCAUGAGUCUCUCAACCCAGCUUCUAUCACGGUCCACCGGCUGAACACUUUCAGAGAAUUCCUCAUUCCUCAUGGAGGGAGAGAUCUGGAUUUGCUAUGAAGAAACGGAUGCUGGAUGAUAGAAGGUUCCCGAAAUUGCAUCUCACUUGAAGUGCAGUGAUGUGUCUGUUACACUGAGCCUCUUAGACAAUCAGGCUGUUUGUUUUCACAAGAAACUUGAGGGCAUGCGUGAUGAUCCAAAAGUUAUUGUUGCUACAAGCAUAAACCCAAGAUUGUUAAAGGUCGUAUUUUCCUCAAUGCAAUUUCCGGUGCAACGCAGGGGAAGCCUGCUUCUACAAUUUGGUGGCUAGGGAUACUGAUCAUCCAUCUGCCGCACCACCACUAAGAAGUUAUGCAAAGGUUGAAACUCUGACAAUUGCUGAGCUCAACAAUUUUGUCAUUACUGCUCCAUCUCAGGAAGAUGACGACUAUGAAGAAGAAUAACAUGCCGGACGGCAAGCCAAUCCCUGUAAAGUUUGAGUCCGGAGGGUGGAGUGGUGAGGAAUCAACGAAGGCGGGAGAAGACCCAGCUGGUUGUGCUCUUGAGAAGAUGGACGACACAUCUUCGAAUGUUAUCAAGAAGACAUCUUCAAAUGUUAUCAAGAAGACGCGUGUUGCUUGAGAUGUAGUAACGCUUAUGUUUCUAUAUUUCCUUUCACGUGUUUAGACUUCUCAUGUGUUUGUGUGUGCUUUGAGUUGGAUUCAGACAGGUUUAAUAAUAUGAAUUUAAUAUGUUGACCUUUGUUAUGUUGGUUUCUAACUAUUCAUCAGUUUCCCGUUUUGGCUUUGUUUAAAAUGUGUAAACCAUUUAAGGUUUAUUAGUUCACACAAUUGUGUUGGGCGAACACUAUUUAAGCUUCCGAA